AGAAAUUUAGGUUACUAAAACCAAGGACCUUCAAAGUCCUAAACAGGGUCAGCCCCCUAAUUUCUG
rnacentral:tRNA from 1 species